GGACGCAGGAGGUGGUUUCCCCCCAGGGUCUCCAGGUGAUGGUAAUGCAGAGCAAGGCUUAGAACGACUGCCCCAAAGGCUUGCUCCGUGUGUUGUGGCCCGGGUUAAGUAGCCUGGCGUCACCUGGGAGCUCGAUUGGCUUGCAUAGCUUCACUGCCCACGCAGGGCCUGAUAAACCAGAGCCUGUGUUUCUCCGAGAUGCCCUUACAGUUUGUCUGGAGUGUCCCGGCUGAGCACCGCCCACCAGAGCUCUCAAACUGGAGCUGCGUCGUAAUCCGGCAUCCCCCCGGAAGGCCCUUAAAACCCGGAUGGCUGGGCCCCGCCCCCAGAGUCGCUAAUCUAGCCUGUGCACUUGCAGCCUGUUCCCAGAAGGCAAGGGUGCUGCCCUUCCAGGGAUGCAAGAGGAUGACCCCGGUGAAGCCCGACGUCCUGUUAGCCCUGCGUCCCCGGCCUGCUCUCACGGCUGCACCGCUAGCCCCAGGCUUCUGCAGCACCUCCCAGGUCUGACAGCCUUUCAGAGUCUUCGCAGGGUGCUCUCACCGGAAGUCUCUCCUAGUCCUCGGAAGGCUGGUUUGCCGGGUGUAGAGAUCUGAGCUCCAUGUGUGUAAAGGCAUCUGCCCUUCCUCUUCCUGCUCUGCGGCUUGCGUGGUCUCUGCAUCAGAAAGAAGAUGGACUCUCACCCAAACUUUGGUCCAGCUGUCAAGACUGAUAACAACACACACACACUAAGAAAGUAUGGAAAUAUUUAUCCCUUACACAAGGCGGCUUUUUGAGGUUGAAGCUCCAAUACUUUUGCCACCUGAUGCAAAGAACUGACUCAUUGGAAAAGACCCUGAUGCUGGGAAAGACUGAAGGCAGGAGGAGAAGCGGAUAACAGAGGACAAGAUGGUUGGAUGGCACCACUGACUCAAUGGACAUGAGUUUGAGCAAGCUCUAGGAGAUGGUGAUGGACAGGGAAGCCUGGCAUGCUGCAGUCCAUGGGGUUGCAAAGAGUUGGACACAACUGAGCAACUGAACUGAACUUAAUGUAUCUCAUUGUCCAUUUAAUGCUUUGUGGUUUGAAAUGUAUUUUAUCUGAUAUAAAGGUUGUUAU
ensembl:lncRNA